UUGGGGCCGUCACGGACAGGGGGCCGGUCACUUUACAGGUGGGGGGUUUACAGGCCCCAGGACAAAAUGUCCCUCGGCGGAGCGGCCCUGGGACCGCCCCAAAGGCCUUGCGGUGGGAGGGAGCCAGGUGCGCUCCGGGUGCAGAGGUGGGAGGGCAGGUGGGGCACAGCCUGGCGGAGAGAACCCUGAGCCCAGGCGGGCGGACUUCCAGGCACCCGGCAGGACAGGCGGGAUGGGACCCCUGUUUUGAGCAAUGACAAUGGUAACGAGAGGAACCAGCAAGGGAGAUAAAGACGGACGGACCCAGCGCAGCCUGCCAUCGCGUACCUGAUGGGGAGAGCAUAUGGGAACUCGCACGAUGCAACAAUCUCCUCUUCCAGAUGGUGUUCCAUCCCUGUCACACGUUGCCCAGCAGAGCUCUGGCACUGUGGGUUUCUUUUGUUGACAAUUUCUUUCUGCCAAGGCUAAUGUUUCAAAGAUCAGUGUUGCAAGUUCUGAAUUUGGGAAAGGUCUGAUUCUUCCAUCAAUCCUUAAAUCACCUCCCUCCCGUGCUGGCUGUGACGACACAUGCUGAUAUGUUGUGACCUGCCAAGGGGGACAGGCCCUCACGGCAAUGAGCCAAAGAAGGAACAGCAGCAAGCCCGCAAGGAACUCAAUGUCACCAACAGCCAUGUGCACUUGGAAGGAAAUCUUUCCCGGCUGAGUCUCCAGAUGAGACCAGAGAGGCUGGACCAGCACCUUGCUUGCAGCCUUGUGACAGCCCCUGCGGCCUGGAGGACCCAGCCGAGCCUUUACCUGGACUUCUGACCCACAGAAAC